AUUGAACGCUGGCGGCAGGCCUAACACAUGCAAGUCGAACGAGUGGCGGACGGGUGAGUAAUGUCUGGGAAACUGCCUGAUGGAGGGGGAUAACUACUGGAAACGGUAGCUAAUACCGCAUACCAUCAGAUGUGCCCAGUGGGGAUUAGCUAGUUGGUGGGGUAACGGCGCAUAAAGGCGACGUUCCCUAGCUGGUCUGAGAGGAUGACCGGCCACGCUGGAUCCAUAACACGGUCCAGACUACUGCAGGGGGCAGCAGUGGGAAAAAUUGCAAAAUGGGUGCAAGCCUGAAGCAGCCAUGCCGCGUGUAUGAAGAGGGCCUACGAGUUGUAAAGUACUUUCGGCGGGGAGGCGUGGCCAGCAAAAGAAGCACCGGCUAACUCCGUGCCAGCAGCGGCGGUAAUA
rnacentral:rRNA from 1 species